rnacentral:rRNA from 1 species
CACGUAGGCGGAUACUUAAGUCAGGGGUGAAAUCCCGGGGCUCAACCCCGGAACUGCCUUUGAUACUGGGUAUCUCGAGUUCGAGAGAGGUGAGUGGAAUUCCGAGUGUAGAGGUGAAAUUCGUAGAUAUUCGGAGGAACACCAGUGGCGAAGGCGGCUCACUGGCUCGAUACUGACGCUGAGGUGCGAAAGCGUGGGGAGCAAACA